rnacentral:misc_RNA from 1 species
AACGCACCUUGCGCUCCUUGGUAUUCCUUGGAGCAUGCCUGUUUGAGUAUCAUGAAAUUCUCAAAGUAAACCUUUUGUUAAUUCAAUUGGUUCUGCUUUGGACUUGGAGGUCUUUGCGGAUUAACUAUCUGCUCCUCUUAAAUUUAUUAGCUGGAUCUCAGUAUAUGCUUGGUUCCACUCGGCGUGAUAAGUUAUCACUCGCUGAGGACACUGUAAAAGGUGGCCAGGAAAUACAGAUGAACCGCUUCUAAUAGUCUAUUAAAUUAGACAAUUAAUUUUAAGAUCUGAUCUCAAAUCAGGUAGGACUACCCGCUGAACUUAA